AAGGCCCUACGGACGCAGCAGUAGGGAAUCUUCCACAAUGGGCGAAAGCCUGAUGGAGCAACGCCGCGUGGGUGAAGAAGGUCUUCGGAUCGUAAAACCCUGUUGUUAGAGAAGAAAGUGCGUGAGAGUAACUGUUCACGUUUCGACGGUAUCUAACCAGAAAGCCACGGCUAACUACGUGCCAGCAGCCGCGGUAAUACGUAGGUGGCAAGCGUUAUCCGGAUUUAUUGGGCGUAAAGAGAACGCAGGCGGUCUUUUAAGUCUGAUGUGAAAGCCUUCGGCUUAACUGGAGUAGUGCAUUGGAA
rnacentral:rRNA from 1 species